rnacentral:rRNA from 1 species
UACGCAGGGGGCUAGCGUUGCUCGGAAUUACUGGGCGUAAAGGGCGCGUAGGCGGAUAUUUAAGUUGGGGGUGAAAUCCCGGGGCUCAACCUCGGAAUUGCCUUCAAAACUGGAUAUCUUGAGUUCGGGAGAGGUGAGUGGAACUCCGAGUGUAGAGGUGAAAUUCGUAGAUAUUCGGAAGAACACCAGUGGCGAAGGCGACUCACUGGCCCGAUACUGACGCUGAGGCGCGAAAGCGUGGGGAGCAAACAGG